UCUCUUCCUCGGCCUGGCCAGCUGAAGAUGAUGGACUUGGAUUCUGGCACCUUCUCCAAAGCCAGGCUCCACAGGGAAUUUGCAGAUGAGUCCACACACAGGGGGAUGCUCCCAGAUUUGGGCAUUGCUCAGCCUGGCUGGGAACCAAAGGUUCCCCCUUUGCUGGGGCGGAUGCAGCUGAUCCUUCAGUCGGCUGCCAGGCUGCUUUUGGCAGGGCUGGGGGCUUGGGCUGGGGUGGGUACGAAAUGGGAGUGGGCUCCUGGCCCUGCCAACAGCCCCCAGCACCCACCGUGCCCCGGGCUGGGGCUGGGGCUGGGGCAGCCAGCCCGACACAAACCAACCCCCAUGGUGGGAGCAGAGGUGGGACUCCAGAACCUGUGCAGGGGCUGCUUUGCUUUGCAGGCAAGGAAGGGCUUGGGCUGCUCCACUGCCCUUGUUUGCUUUGGGAUCAGCGUUAUUUUGGGGGGCAGUGCAGGGAUGAAGGGAGAAAGCCUGGGCUUCCCUGUCCUGUAGAGGAAGCGUUCCAGGUGGGGCCCAGUCUGGAUGGGGAAGUGCUUGGGAGCAGCUGCGGCGUGGAUGGGCCAUGCCCUUGGAGAAGGCUGAGGACAUCGUUUGGGACCAGCUUUUCUUCCAGCGGUGGAUGGCGUCAGGUGGGUCCCGUCUGCUUGGCAUGGUGGGAUCAGAGCUUUGGGGAGAUGGCAGCGAGCACAGGAGCAUCCUGCUCCGGGCAGCUGCUGAGGGCUGGAUGUGCCGUGGCUGGCUGCAGGCUGGGCACAUGUCCUGCCCUCCUGCUCUGCUGCCAAAGGCAGCAGUGAUGGGCAGCUCUGGGCACCGCUCUGGGCACGGCCAGCAUGGCCUGGGCACCGCGGGCGGCUGGGACAAGGGGACAGGAGCCUUCAGCUGACGGGCGCUUUCUGCUUUCUCUCCUUGCAGCCGGGCUCUGCGGGUGCUGAGGCUGCUCUGGGCUCUGCCAGGGCUCUGCUGGAGCUCAGCACCGGGCCAGAAUCAGCCAAAGAAGAAAUGGUGUGCCCUGCAGCACAGCCUUGCUUGAGUAUUUCAGCAACACAGCUCAAGUUUGCAGAAUGUACACCUCCAAGGGAAAAGAUGCCACCACCCAAAAAAUAAACUUGUUCAAUAGCUUCUGAAAUUAAA